ACGGAGGGUGCAAGCGUUAUCCGGAUUCACUGGGUUUAAAGGGUGUGUAGGCGGAUUUUUAAGUCAGUGGUGAAAUCUCCGGGCUCAACCCGGAAACUGCCAUUGAUACUAUUAGUCUUGAAUUUUGUUGAGGUAGGCGGAAUAUAUCAUGUAGCGGUGAAAUGCUUAGAUAUGAUAUAGAACACCGAUUGCGAAGGCAGCUUACUAAACAAAUAUUGACGCUGAGGCACGAAAGCGUGGGGAUCAAACAGGA
rnacentral:rRNA from 1 species